GGUGGCUUAGUGGUAGAGUGCUUGCCUUGCAUGCAUGAGGUCCUAGGUUCGAUUCCUCAGCACCA
rnacentral:tRNA from 1 species